GUGCAGCAGGCGAGAAUAUUGGACAAUAGGCGCAAGCCAGAUCCAGCGACGCCGCGUGAAGGAUGAAGGCUUUUUGUUGUAAACUUCUUUUAGAAGGGAAGAUGGGGUACAAUGUUAAUACCAUUGUAUCCUGACGCUACCUUCAGAAAAAGCUCCGGCUAACUCCGCGCCAGCAGCCGCGGUAAUACGGAGGGAGCAGGCGUUGUCCGGAAUCACUGGGCGUAAAGGGAGCGUAGGUGGAUAUAUAAGUUGGGAUGUGAAAUCUUACGAGCUUAACUGUAAAAUUGCAUCCAAUACUGUAUGUCUAGAGUUCAGAAGGGGAGAGCGGAAUCCUAGUCGUAGCGGUGAAAUGCGUAGAUAUUAGGAGGAACACGGGUGGCGAAGGCGGCUCUCUGGUCUGAUACUGACACUGAGGCUCGAAAGCUAGGGUAGCGAACAGGAUUAGAUACCCCCUGUA
rnacentral:rRNA from 1 species